AAGCUGCAUCCAUGGCAAUGGAAUUGGUUUCUAGAGGGAUCAACUGCCAAUGUGAUUUUGAUCCUUGAUUCAGACUAACCUCAAAAUGAAUGAUCCUGCUUCAAAACCUCUUCUGAUUGAGACAAUGAAGGCACUAUAGAUGGGGAUAUCUGGAAUUAAUACCUCUAUCUGUUACCAGAAGAAUUGAUCACCCUACUAAUCCAUGAAAAUAUCCCAGUAAUAGAGUGUGGGUGGAUAGUCUGAUGAUACCUUCUUUCUUAGACUUGCCAAUCCUCAACAAGAUGGCUCCAGAAAAAUGAUCUCCAUAAGUUCAGAGGGACUGAGAGAUUUCACUCUGUUGGUGUUUAUGGAUGGAUGGAUGAAAAUAGAGAUGUUGCUGCACUUGGUACAGGAUUAUUCCAUCCUCUGAACUGUUGAAGGAGAGAGAACACACCUGACCUUCCUCUGGGUAACAUCCUUUCAGAAAACUGAGCAAUGCUUCAGUCUACUCUUCUCAAGGUCAGACAUGUCCAGUUGCUUAAGUCUGUCUCCUAGUCAUUUGAUUGUUCUUGUCAUCCUUCUUUGAAACUAUUCAAGUUCAUCUGAAUCCUUCUUAAAGUGGGCUGUCCAGAACUGCAGACAGUCCUCAGAGUGACAUCUGAUCAAAGUACAA